rnacentral:misc_RNA from 1 species
AAGUCGUAACAAGGUCUCCGUAGGUGAACCUGCGGAGGGAUCAUUACUGAGUGAGGGCCCUCGUGGUCCGACCUCCAACCCAUUGUUGUCCGACUCUGUUGCCUCGGGGGCGACCCGGCCUUUGCGGGCUCGGGGCCCCCGACGGUCCACACAACUCUGCAUCUUUGCGUCUGAGUAAACAUUAAAUGAAACAAAACUUUCAACAACGGAUCUCUUGGUUCUG